ACGAGAGUUUUCGAGUCCCUGGGUACUCAGGAUGAACGCUGGCGGCGUGCCAAUACAUGCAAGUCAGCGAACAGAUAAGGAGCUUGCUCCUUUGAAGUUAGCGGCGGACGGGUGAGUAACACGUGGGUAACCUACCUAUAAGACUGGGAUAACUUCGGGAAACCGGAGCUAAUACCGGAUAAUAUUUAGAACGCAUGGUUCUAAAGUGAAAGAUGGUUUUGCUAUCACUUAUAGAUGGACCCGCGCCGUAUUAGCUAGUUGGUAAGGUAACGGCUUACCAAGGCGACGAUACGUAGCCGACCUGAGAGGGUGAUCGGCCACACUGGAACUGAGACACGGUCCAGACUCCUACGGGAGGCAGCAGUAGGGAAUCUUCCGCAAUGGACGAAAGCCUGACGGAGCAACGCCGCGUGAGUGAUGAAGGGUUUCGGCUCGUAAAACUCUGUUAUUAGGGAAGAACAAAUGUGUAAGUAACUGCGCACAUCUUGACGGUACCUAAUCAGAAAGCCACGGCUAACUACGUG
rnacentral:rRNA from 1 species